AUUGAACGCUGGCGGCAGGCCUAACACAUGCAAGUCGAGCGGAUGACGCGAGCUUGCUCCUUGAUUCAGCGGCGGACGGGUGAGUAAUGCCUAGGAAUCUGCCUGGUAGUGGGGGACAACGUUUCGAAAGGAACGCUAAUACCGCAUACGUCCUACGGGAGAAAGCAGGGGACCUUCGGGCCUUGCGCUAUCAGAUGAGCCUAGGUCGGAUUAGCUAGUUGGUGAGGUAAUGGCUCACCAAGGCGACGAUCCGUAACUGGUCUGAGAGGAUGAUCAGUCACACUGGGACGGAGAAACGGUCCAGACUCCUACGGGAGGCAGCAGUGGGGAAUAUUGGACAAUGGGCGAAAGCCUGAUCCAGCCAUGCCGCGUGUGUGAAGAAGGUCUUCGGAUUGUAAAGCACUUUAAGUUGGGAGGAAGGGCAGUAAGUUAAUACCUUGCUGUUUUGACGUUACCGACAGAAUAAGCACCGGCUAACUCUGUGCCAGCAGCCGCAGUAAAAC
rnacentral:rRNA from 1 species